GAUAAACGCUGACAGAAUGCUUAACACAUGCAAGUCUAUGAUGGUUAGCUAAGCCUAGCUUAGAAGAAGUCAUGGCGGACGGGUGAGUAACGUGUAAAGAACUUGCCCUCUAGACUGGGAUAACAGAUAGAAAUGUCUGAUAAUACCGGGUAUUAUUGUUACAUGGCAUCAUGUAGGGAUGAAAGGAUAAGAUUGCUAGAGGAGAGCUUUGCAUCCUAUUAGCUAGUUGGUAAGGUAGAGGCUUACCAAGGCGAUGAUAGGUAGCCGGUCUGAGAGGAUGAACGGCCACAUUGGGACUGAGAUACGGCCCAG
rnacentral:rRNA from 1 species